UACGGAGGGAGCUAGCGUUGUUCGGAAUUACUGGGCGUAAAGGGCGCGUAGGCGGCGCGACAAGUCACUUGUGAAAUCUCUGGGCUCAACCCAGAACGGUCAAGUGAUACUGUCAUGCUAGAGUGCGGAAGGGGCAACUGGAAUUCUUGGUGUAGCGGUGAAAUGCGUAGAUAUUGGGAAGAACACCGAUGGCGAAGGCAGCCAUCUGGACCGACACUGACGCUGAGGCGCGAAAGCGUGGGGAGCAAACAGG
rnacentral:rRNA from 1 species